rnacentral:misc_RNA from 1 species
GUGAAUCAUCGAAUCUUUGAACGCACAUUGCGCUCGAGCCCUCGGGCAAGAGCAUGUCUGCCUCAGCGUCGGUUUACACCCUCACCCCUCCCAACUUGUUGGGUGCGUUUGCUCUGUUUGCAAGCCUAGGGGUGGAUCUGGCUUCCCCAACCAGCCAUCAGGCAGAUUGGGUUGGCUGAAGUGCAGAGGCUUAAGCAAGGACCCGAUAUGGGCUUCAACUGGAUAGGUAGCACCGGCUUCUGCCGACUACACGAAGUUGUUGCUUGUGGAUCUUGCUAGAAGCCAAGUAGGAAUGUGCCU